GUCCUUUAGAAAAUAGAAUUUAAGGUCUAACCUGCCCACUGAAAUUUUAAAUGGCCGCAGUAAUUUGACUGUGCAAAGGUAGCAUAAUCAUUAGUUUUUUAAUUAAAAGCUUGUAUGAAUGGUUGGACGAAAUAAAAUCUGUCUCUAAAUAAAUAUUAGAAUUUAAUUUUUAAGUUAAAAAGCUUAAAUAUUAUUAAAAGACGAGAAGACCCUAUAGAUCUUUAUAAUAUUUUUUAUAAUUUUAUUUAGGAUUUAUUUAUUAAUUAUAUUAAAUAUUAUUUUAUUGGGGUAAUAAAAAGAUUAAAUUAAUUCUUUUUUUAAUUUAACAAAAAUAAUUGAUUAUAUGAUCCUUUUUUAUUGAUUAUAAGAUUAAGUUACCUUAGGGAUAACAGCGUAAUUUUUUUAGAGAGUUCAUAUCGAUAAAAAAGUUUGCGACCUCGAUGUUGGAUUAAAAAUUAUUUUGGGUGUAGAAGUUCAAAGUUUUGGUCUGUUCGACCAUUAAAUUUUU
rnacentral:rRNA from 1 species